rnacentral:rRNA from 1 species
UACGUAGGGGGCUAGCGUUGUCCGGAUUUAUUGGGCGUAAAGCGCGUGUAGGCGGCCAGAUAGGUCUGCUGUGAAAACUCGAGGCUCAACCUCGAGCUGUCGGCGGAAACCAUCCGGCUAGAGUCCGGAAGAGGAGAGUGGAAUUCCCGGUGUAGCGGUGAAAUGCGCAGAUAUCGGGAAGAACACCGGUGGCGAAAGCGCUCAUCUGGCCCAAUACUGACGCUGAGGCGCGAAAGCUAGGGGAGCAAACGGG